GAAAUGCGAUAAGUAAUGUGAAUUGCAGAAUUCAGUGAAUCAUCGAAUCUUUGAACGCACCUUGCGCCUCUUGGUAUUCCGAGAGGCAUGCCUGUUUGAGUGUCAUUAAAUUCUCAACCUCAAAAGCUUUUUUUGUUUCUGAGGCUUGGAUGUGGAGGUCUUUGCCGGCUUGUUCAAAAGUCAGCUCCUCUUAAAUGCAUUAGUGGAAACUUUUUGUAGUCCGCAUUGGUGUGAUAAUUAUCAGCGCUAUUGUGUGGCUAACAGCUCUUGCGGUGUUCGUUUGGAAAGCUUGCAUGUACUUGCUCUUUCUGUUCUAAUUGACCUGCGAGUGUUAGUGUCUGCUUCGAACCGUCCUAAGUCGUUGGACAACCCUUGACUAUUUUGACCUCAAAUCAGGUAGGACUACCCGCUGAACUUAA
rnacentral:rRNA from 1 species